GCUCCUAUAGUUCAACGGAUAGAACGAGGGUUUCCUAAACCCUAAAUCUAGGUUCAAUUCCUAGUAGGGGCA
rnacentral:tRNA from 1 species